GAUGAACGCUGGCGGCGUGCCUAAUACAUGCAAGUAGAACGCUGAAGCUUGGUGCUUGCACCGAGCGGAGGAGUUGCGAACGGGUGAGUAACGCGUAGGUAACCUGCCUCUUAGCGGGGGAUAACUAUUGGAAACGAUAGCUAAUACCGCAUAAAAGUCGACAUUGCAUGAUGUUGACUUGAAAGGUGCAACUGCAUCACUAAGAGAUGGACCUGCGUUGUAUUAGCUAGUUGGUGAGGUAACGGCUCACCAAGGCGACGAUACAUAGCCGACCUGAGAGGGUGAUCGGCCACACUGGGACUGAGACACGGCCCAGACUCCUACGGGAGGCAGCAGUAGGGAAUCUUCGGCAAUGGACGGAAGUCUGACCGAGCAACGCCGCGUGAGUGAAGAAGGUUUUCGGAUCGUAAAGCUCUGUUGUAAGAGAAGAACGAGUGUGAGAGUGGAAAGUUCACACUGUGACGGUAACUUACCAGAAAGGGACGGCUAACUACGUGCCAGCAGCCGCGGUAAUACGUAGGUCCCGAGCGUUAUCCGGAUUUAUUGGGCGUAAAGCGAGCGCAGGCGGUUAGAUAAGUCUGAAGUUAAAGGCUGUGGCUUAACCAUAGUACGCUUUGGAAACUGUUUAACUUGAGUGCAGAAGGGGAGAGUGGAAUUCCAUGUGUAGCGGUGAAAUGCGUAGAUAUAUGGAGGAACACCGGUGGCGAAAGCGGCUCUCUGGUCUGUAACUGACGCUGAGGCUCGAAAGCGUGGGGGAGCAAACAGG
rnacentral:rRNA from 1 species